UACGGAGGUGGCAGGCGUUACUCGGAUUGAUUGGGUGUAAAGGGUGUGUAGGUGGUGAGUUAAGUCGGAUGUGAAAGCCCUUGGCUUAACCAAGGAAUUGCAUUUGAUACUGACUUGCUUGAGCGACAGAGAGGAAAGUGGAAUUCUCGGUGUAACAGUGAAAUGUGUAGAUAUCGAGAGGAACACCAGUGGCGAAGGCGACUUUCUGGCUGUCUGCUGACACUGAAACACGAGAGCUAGGGGAGCAAACAGG
rnacentral:misc_RNA from 1 species